GACGAACGCUGGCGGCGUGCUUAACACAUGCAAGUCGAACGGAAAGGCCCUGCUUUUGUGGGGUGCUCGAGUGGCGAACGGGUGAGUAACACGUGAGUAACCUGCCCUUGACUUUGGGAUAACUUCAGGAAACUGGGGCUAAUACCGGAUAGGAGCUCCUGCUGCAUGGUGGGGGUUGGAAAGUUUCGGCGGUUGGGGAUGGACUCGCGGCUUAUCAGCUUGUUGGUGGGGUAGUGGCUUACCAAGGCUUUGACGGGUAGCCGGCCUGAGAGGGUGACCGGCCACAUUGGGACUGAGAUACGGCGCAGACUCCUACGGGAGGCAGCAGUGGGGAGUAUGGCACAAUGGGCGGAAGCGUGAUGCAGAAACGCCGGGUGCGGGAUGACGGCCUUCGGGUUGUAAACCGCUUUCGCCUGAGACGAAGCGUGAGUGACGGUAAUGGGUAAAGAAGCACCGGCUAACUACGUG
rnacentral:rRNA from 1 species